rnacentral:rRNA from 1 species
AGAGUUGAUCAUGGCUCAGGAUGAACGCUAGCUACAGGCUAACACAUGCAAGUCGAGGGGCAGCAUGAAGUCAGCUUGCUGACUUGAUGGCGACCGGCGCGACGGGUGCGUAACACGUAUCCAAUCUGCCCGUUACCCGGGGAUAGCCUUUCGAAAGAAAGAUUAAUACCCGAUGGUUUCGCUUUCUCGCAUGAGAUGGUGAAUAAAGAUUCAUCGGUAACGGAUGAGGAUGCGUCCGAUUAGGUAGUAGGCGGGGUAACGGCCCACCUAGCCGACGAUCGGUAGGGGCUCUGAGAGGAGGAUCCCCCCACAUUGGAACUGAGACACGGUCCAAACUCCUACGGGAGGCAGCAGUGAGGAAUAUUGGUCAAUGGACGAGAGUCUGAACCAGCCAAGUAGCCGUGAGGGACGACUGCCCUAUGGGUUGUAAACCUCUUUUGUUUGGGAAUAAAGUGAGCCACGUGUGGCUUUUUGUAUGUACCUUACGAAUAAGCAUCGGCUAAUUCCGUGCCAGCAGCCGC